UUUUUCUUUAAUACAGAGAACCACAAAAAGAACAUUCCUUUUUGGAAAGUGAGCGUACCUAAGGGGAAAGACAAGCCCAAGAGAGAAGACAAAGCAGAAAGCAAUUGAACGUCCCAAGUGGCUGCGACCCAGGGAAAGGAUGCUGGCUACCGAAUGGU
rnacentral:lncRNA from 1 species